rnacentral:rRNA from 1 species
GCAAUGUUAUUUUUAAAAAAUUAAAAUGUUCAAGCAGGACUACGCUCUAAAUACUUACCUGGAAUAACGAGUUAGGAAUCUGGUCCUAUUGUGUUGGUAUUCGGGACCCGAAUAAUGAUUAAUAGGGACAGUUGGGGAUAUUCGUAUUUCAUUGUCAAAAGUGAAAUUCUGGAUUUAUGAAAGACUAUCUUCUGCAAAAGCAUUUAUCAAGGAUGUUUUCCUUAACACGAACCAUGUUGGGGGCUCGAAAACUAUCUAUACCAUCCUAUCUCACCUUAAACGAUGCCGACUAGGAUUGGAGGAUGUAAUUUGAUGACUCCGCCAGCCCUUAUGAAAAUCUAUUUUUGGGUUCCGGGGGGA